UACAAUCCAACCAGGGAAUAGCGGGAGUGUAGACGAUCUGGGACCUAGCUCUCCAAACAAAUUACGCUCCUGAAGCAAAAAGAAAGAGUAAAUCGGUGCUGCCUGUUGUGUGUAUUAUAUGUAAAAAACGUGACAGAUUUGUCACUGUUGGAGAAAAUAGGAAGAAGGAUGUAUUAACACAGACUCAGACCCAAACAGGCUCAGGCCAACUGUUGAAAGCUGCUGAAUUGAAAGAGGAUGAAGAUAUUUUAAGGCAUAUCAGAGGGCAAGAUUGUGUGGCCAUUGAGGUCAGAUAUCACCAAAAAUGUUAUAGGCAAUAUACAUGUACUGAAUUUCUUAGACAGUUAUCAGAAAGCAAAGAUGACUAGCCCUCCGUCGAAUAUUAAACCACAUACAAUAUAUUCUGUGAAGAUGUCAUAAGAGAAAGAAUCAUAAAUGGCCAGCAAAGUUGUCUUGUACAGAGAGAGAGAGAGAGAAAUGGGGUUUAACGUCCACUCAACACAAACUAGGUCAUUUUGGGACUAACAUACGGUUUCAAUUUUAUUUCAAUAAUUCGCUUGCGCGUAUGGGUCUUUAGCAGUGAGAGGAAACCGGAGUGCCCGGAGGAAACCCACGAGGUUGAGAAGACGCCUCUAUCUCCAUGCCACAUACGCUCACACCUGGGAUCAAAGCCACAGCCACAAGCCAGAGGUGACCGACCAGCUAGAGGUCGAAGCGCGGCACUCUAGGCCAUCCCAACCCCCCUUUCUUGUACAGACCUGUGCAUGUGUAGUCAAUGUGAAAAUGAAAAAAAAACUGUUAAAGAGACCGAAUUUGAUGUUAAUACAUUUAGUGACAGUGAUGAUGAUAAUGAAGAUUAACUUUGAUGACAUUUGAU